rnacentral:lncRNA from 11 species
CGUGACUCUAAACAAGAGCUUUAAGCCCUGCUUCGCCCAGCAGGAGAUACAGGGGAAAGAGCGUGCGUUUGCCGCGCCCGCCCGCUCGCCUGGCGCGUCUUCGCUUUGCGCCCGCUGCCUGAGGAAGGAGCAGCGUGCCCGGAACGUGCCUGCGUUUGUGUGGAGGAAGAUGGAGGCCGACUCCUCGCAGACUCCAAAUCAGAUGCAAACUGAUUCUUUGUCUCCAUCUCCUAACACUGUGUCUCCAGUGCCUUUAAAUAACCCCACAAGUGCCCCAAG